GAUGAACGCUGGCGGCGUGCCUAAUACAUGCAAGUCGAGCGAACGGACGAGAAGCUUGCCUCUCUGAUGUUAGCGGCGGACGGGUGAGUAACACGUGGAUAACCUACCUAUAAGACUGGGAUAACUUCGGGAAACCGUAGCUAAUACCGGAUAAUAUUUUGAACCGCAUGGUUCAAAAGUGAAAGACGGUCUUGCUGUCACUUAUAGAUGGAUCCGCGCUGCAUUAGCUAGUUGGUAAGGUAACGGCUUACCAAGGCAACGAUGCAUAGCCGACCUGAGAGGGUGAUCGGCCACACUGGAACUGAGACACGGUCCAGACUCCUACGGGAGGCAGCAGUAGGGAAUCUUCCGCAAUGGGCGAAAGCCUGACGGAGCAACGCCGCGUGAGUGAUGAAGGUCUUCGGAUCGUAAAACUCUGUUAUUAGGGAAGAACAUAUGUGCAAGUAACUGUGCACAUCUUGACGGUACCUAAUCAGAAAGCCACGGCUAACUACGUG
rnacentral:rRNA from 1 species